rnacentral:rRNA from 1 species
UAAUACAUGCAAGUAGAACGCUGAGAACUGGUGCUUGCACCGGUUCAAAGAGUUGCGAACGGGUGAGUAACGCGUAGGUAACCUACCUCAUAGCGGGGGAUAACUAUUGGAAACGAUAGCUAAUACCGCAUAAGAGAGACUAACGCAUGUUAGUAAUUUAAAAGGGGCAAUUGCUCCACUAUGAGAUGGACCUGCGUUGUAUUAGCUAGUUGGUGAGGUAAAGGCUCACCAAGGCGACGAUACAUAGCCGACCUGAGAGGGUGAUCGGCCACACUGGGACUGAGACACGGCCCAGACUCCUACGGGAGGCAGCAGUAGGGAAUCUUCGGCAAUGGGGGCAACCCUGACCGAGCAACGCCGCGUGAGUGAAGAAGGUUUUCGGAUCGUAAAGCUCUGUUGUUAGAGAAGAAUGAUGGUGGGAGUGGAAAAUCCACCAAGUGACGGUAACUAACCAGAAAGGGACGGCUAACUACGUGCCAGCAGCCGCGGUAAUACGUAGGUCCCGAGCGUUGUCCGGAUUUAUUGGGCGUAAAGCGAGCGCAGGCGGUUUUUUAAGUCUGAAGUUAAAGGCAUUGGCUCAACCAAUGUACGCUUUGGAAACUGGAGAACUUGAGUGCAGAAGGGGAGAGUGGAAUUCCAUGUGUAGCGGUGAAAUGCGUAGAUAUAUGGAGGAACACCGGUGGCGAAAGCGGCUCUCUUGGUCUGUAACUGACGCUGAGGCUCGAAAGC